CCACCAGGCUAGACGGGUAGCUGGCUGAGAGGGUGGUCAGCACACUGGGACUGAGACCCGGCCCAGACACUACGGGUGGCAGCAGUCGAGAAUUUUUCACAAUGGGCGAAAGCCUGAUGGAGCGACGCCGCGUGGAGGAUGAAGGCCUUCGGGUUGUAAACUCCUGUCACCCUGGACCAAGACUUUCAGCUUGAAUAAAGCUGGAAGUUUGAUUGUACAGGGAGAGGAAGGGACGGCAAACUCUGUGCCAGCAGCCGCGGUAAUACAGAGGUCCCAAGCGUUGCUCGGAUUUACUGGGCGUAAAGGGUGUGUAGGAGGUUAGAUAAGUCGGAUGUGAAAUCCCUUUGCUUAACAAAGGAACUGCAUUCGAUACUGUCUAGCUAGAGGACCGGAGGGGGAAGCGGAACUCUCGGUGUAGCGGUGAAAUGCGUGGAUAUCGAGAGGAACACCGGUGGCGAAGGCGGCUUCCUGGACGGUACCUGACUCUGAUACACGAAAGCUAGGGGAGCGAACGGGAUUAGAUACCCCGGUAGUCCUAGCCGUAAACGGUGUGCGUUAGGCGUUGGCGGAAUCGACCCCGCCAGUGCCGUAGCUAACGCGUUAAACGCACCGCCUGAGGAGUACGGCCGCAAGGCUAAAACUCAAAGAAAUUGACGGGGGCCCGCACAAGCGGUGGAGCAUGUGGCUUAAUUCGAUGCAACGCGAAGAACCUUACCAGGCCUUGACAUGCCGUGUUCAGUUGCCGAAAGGCAAUGGCCCGCAAGGGCGAACGGCACAGGUGCUGCAUGGCUGUCGUCAGCUCGUGUCGUGAGAUGUUGGGUUAAGUCCCGCAACGAGCGCAACCCCUAUGUCCAGUUGCCGAAAGGCUCUCUGAACAGACUGCCUCGUAUAACGGGGAGGAAGGUGGGGACGACGUCAAGUCAGGAUGGCCCUUAUGGCCUGGGCUGCACACGUGUUACAAUGCCCGGUACAGAGGGAAGCAAGACCGCGAGGUGGAGCAAAUCCCAAAAACCGGGCCCAGUUCAGAUCGAAGGCUGCAACUCGCCUUCGUGAAGCCGGAAUCGCUAGUAAUGGCGCAUCAGCUACGGCGCCGUGAAUACGUUCCCGGGCCUU
rnacentral:rRNA from 1 species